UGGGGAAUUUUGCACAAUGGACGCAAGCCUGAUGCAGCGACGCCGCGUGAGGGAUGAAGGCCUUCGGGUUGUAAACCUUUUUCGCUCAUGGUCAAGCCGCAGCUUUGGGUUGUGGUGAGGGUAGUGGGUAAAGAAGCGCCGGCUAACUACGUGCCAGCAGCCGCGGUAAUACGUAGGGCGCGAGCGUUGUCCGGAAUUAUUGGGGGUAAAGGGCUUGUAGGCGGUUGGCCGCGUCUGCCGUGAAAUCCUCUGGCUUAACUGGGGGCGUGCGGUGGGGACGGGGUGACUUGAGUGCGGUAGGAGGGACUGGAAUUCCUGGUGUAGCGGUGGAAUGCGCAGAUAUCAGGAGGAACACCGGUGGCGAAGGCGGGUCUCUGGGCCGUUACUGACGCUGAGGAGCGAAGGCGUGGGGAGCGAACAGG
rnacentral:rRNA from 1 species